AUUGAACGCUGGCGGCAUGCCUUACACAUGCAAGUCGAACGGUAACAGGUUAAGCUGACGAGUGGCGAACGGGUGAGUAAUAUAUCGGAACGUGCCCAGUCGUGGGGGAUAACGUAGCGAAAGCUACGCUAAUACCGCAUACGAUCUACGGAUGAAAGCGGGGGAUCGCAAGACCUCGCGCGAUUGGAGCGGCCAAUAUCAGAUUAGCUAGUUGGUGAGGUAAAGGCUCACCAAGGCGACGAUCUGUAGCUGGUCUGAGAGGACGACCCGCCACACUGGGACUGAGACACGGCCCAGACUCCUACGGGAGGCAGCAGUGGGGAAUAUUGGACAAUGGGGGGAACCCUGAUCCUGCCAUGCCGCGUGUGUGAAGAAGGCCUUAUGGUUGUAAAGCACUUUAAGCGAGGAGGAGGCUCUUUUGGUUAAUACCCAAGAUGAGUGGACGUUACUCGCAGAAUAAGCACCGGCUAACUCUGUGCCAGCCGCCGCAGUAA
rnacentral:rRNA from 1 species